GCAGCAGUAGGAAUAUACCACCCUAGAGGGCACACCUCCUUUUAGAUAGAUACCUAUAAAUGUCAAGGAUUUUCUAUUCAAUUGAGAAGAACCCAGCAAAAUGGGGAUCUCCACGGUCAUCCUUGAAAUAUGUCUUUUAUGGGGACAAGUUCUACCUACAGGUGAGUGGAUCCCAGGGACUACAGACGCUGCUUCUCUGUUUCCCUCGAAGGUGCCCCUGGAGACAACUGUAGCAGAAGGU